CCGGCACGGGUGAGUAACACGUAUGCAAUCCACCUGUAACAGGGGGAUAACCCGGAGAAAUCCGGACUAAUGCCCCAUAAUAUGGGCGCUCCGCAUGGAGAGUUCAUUAAAGAGAGCAAUUUUGGUUACAGACGAGCAUGCGCUCCAUUAGCCAGUUGGCGGGGUAACGGCCCACCAAGGCGACGAUGGAUAGGGGUUCUGAGAGGAAGGUCCCCCACAUUGGAACUGAGACACGGUCCAA
rnacentral:rRNA from 1 species